GGAGAAGGCUCCAAAGAUCAAAAGGAGGCCAAGACGUUAACAGAUCUUCCUGAGAAUGAGAACGUGGCAGCAGGAGACUUGUUAGAGCCUUCUAGGGUGACAGCAUGGAGAGGAGAGGGACAUAUAUACUCUAUAAGAUUGUGUUGAGGGUUAAGGAAGUCAGAGGACCACUGCCAUGUAGAAGAACCCUGCCUAACUGACAUCCAGAACUCGGAGCGGCUCCAGCAGAAGAUGUGAUAGCCUUGACCUGCUUCUACCAGGCCUUGCCUUGUGUCCUGGCUUUAAGAGGUUGUGCACAACUGACACUGUCCACAGC
rnacentral:lncRNA from 1 species